CCCUUAGAUGUCCUGGGCCGCACGCGCGUUACACUGAUGCAUUCAACGAGCUUAUAACCUUGGCCGAGAGGCCUGGGCAAUCUUGUUAACGUGCAUCGUGAUAGGGAUAGAUUAUUGAAAUUAUUAAUCUUGAACGAGGAAUUCCUAGUAAACGCAGAUCAUCAAUCUGCAUUGAUUACGUCCCUGCCCUUUGUACACACCGCCCGUCGCACCUACCGAUUUCGAGUGGUUCGGUGAACCUUUCGGACCGGCAAUGCCUCGUGUUGCGCCGGAAAGUCAAGUAAACCAUAUCACUUAGAGGAAGGAGAAGUCGUAACA
rnacentral:rRNA from 1 species